CUAUAUAUUUAAAAUUAAUUAAUUAAAUCUUUGAGGUAGAUUUAAAAUUAAUUAAUUAAAUCUUUGAAGUAGAGAACUUUUUUAUUAUUAUUAUUAUUAUUAUUAUUGAUUUACUGAUUUUAGGCAUCCAAAACGGAAACACGAAGAUGAAAUUUAGAUAGUUCGUCGAUUUCUGUCCGCCAAAUGAAUCCUUUCGCGCAUUGACCGACCGCGUCGAUUUCGGCGAGGGUCGCCGAAGCAUUCUGAGAGUGCCGCAUCGCAACUUCUGCUCCCUCCCCCAUUCUCCGCAGGACCGUACCAGAUCUUUUCCUUUUUAUCUUCUUUUCCUCCAACUUCUGGUGCAAUCCUCCAUCGUCGAGGGCUUCGAAGCUUCUCCUCUAUACCCGUGACCCUCAUCUUCGAGAUCUUGGGGAAUUGGAUCAGCUUGCUUUCCAAAUGCCAUCAUGCAAAGAGAACCAUGCCAUUUGAUACCCCUUUUCUUUCUGAAAAGGAGCUGCCGAGGCCAUUAUUUUUCCACAAUCCUUGUCUCUCAUGUCGCUCGAGCCUGACAACUUUACAGUAGAUUCCUGUCUCUCUCUUCAGUCUUCCGCCCUUGCUCUGCCCUCAUGAUCAUCUCUAUGUCUUUGUAGAGAUGUUGGUUUGUACUAAAUAUAUCCUGACUCGAUCAAAGUUUUUUUUUUUCAAUGCUCUUCUUCACUGCAUCAUUUUCCGUAGGAUCUCGUAUCAGUUCCUUAUUGAUUCAGAAAAGGUGAUUGUUCUCAAUUCACAGUAGUAGUGCACUGCGCCACUAUGAGUGAUCUCACAUUUGCUUUUCCAACUGCGUGUUCCUCUAGUCACUUAAAGCUGAUGCCUUUCGAACUUUUCUUCUUUGUUUUGUUUUGUUCCCUUUGCUGCUUUUGAUUUGAUCAGGGGUGUGUGACAAAGAGGAAGGAUGAUGGAAGGAGACAA